rnacentral:rRNA from 1 species
UACGUAGGGUGCAAGCGUUGUCCGGAAUUAUUGGGCGUAAAGAGCUCGUAGGCGGUCUGUCGCGUCUGCUGUGAAAACUCAGGGCUUAACCCUGAGCUUGCAGUGGGUACGGGCAGACUAGAGUGCGGUAGGGGAGACUGGAAUUCCUGGUGUAGCGGUGAAAUGCGCAGAUAUCAGGAGGAACACCGGUGGCGAAGGCGGGUCUCUGGGCCGUAACUGACGCUGAGGCGCGAAAGCUAGGGGAGCAAACGGG